UUUCCCAGUCAGAUUUAACCAUUCAAGAAGUGAUUAUAGUUAGAGUUAGGACGACAUUGCUAAUUGCUCUCAAAAGGAGUUCCAAAGUGUGGACUGAUAAUUUAGUCUGUGAGCUAAAUUGGGUUAGACUUAUCCAUUCAGAGAUCAAAUUAGACAAGAUGAUGAAACGAAUUCUUUAGGAAACUAAAGUCUCACGUGAUUUUAACUAUUAUCUAAGUGGUGUUAAGCAUCUGAUCUUUUAACUUUAACAAGCCUAUGCCAUUUUCUUUUCCCCUUCCUCCAUCCCCGCUGCCCCCGUCUCUCUUUCUCAUUAAAAUGCUUAUCUGAUAUCACUAAAAUGUAUAUUUAGCAUUUACCUAAAAUGCUUGUUAUUUUGUUCACUAACUGAUCGAGUAUCUGAUCUAGUACAGAUCCUUGUAAUAGAUUUACAUGCUCCAAAUGCUUUUUUAUAUAUAUUCUUUCCUAGGCUUUGGUUUUCAUAUAUGACUUGUCAAAGCUCUUAAGUUCUUUGUUUGCAUGCAUCCUAGUACUAGAAAGAUAGUGGGUUCAUUUUUACCAUCCUGUACAUGUACGAUUAUAAAGGAAGUAUUGUUUUAGCUUUGCUUUUUGCUUAUUAGUUCUUUUCCAUAGCACUGCUGGUGCUCAUUGCUGAUUCACAAGCCUUGGCACCAUCAUAUCUAGAAAUUAUAAUUUUAACUGUAUUUUUAACCUUUAAACUAAUGCCUUUCAUUCUUUUUCUUAUUUAGUUGUAGUUUAUGCAAUGACUAGAUGACAGGAGCGUCAACAAGGCACUAUGUAUCAUCUACCAUGGUACGUAUCACAAUACUAUCUGCAAAAUAUGUUGAAGGUUGUUAUGUGUCCUAGUAUUUUCUGCAAGGCAACUCUUUGUUGUAAGAUAAUUGUUGUGUGUAAUAACAUGUAUUUUAAAUGCCCCUAGAACCCUACAAUAUCUUUUAGUUUUGUUGCCUUUUUCUGUAUUCAGAUUAAAGGAUUAGAACAUUGGCCAAUAACAUGGAGUUUAUUUAGGCAAUUUAUAGGUAUGAAUUAGACAAUAAUAUUAUUAUAGAUGAGCAAUAAUAUGGUUCGCAAUAAGUAUUUUCCCAUAUAUAACAACAAAAAUAUUUAGGAAUUUUUUUAUUUAGGCUAUGAGUUGAGACUAUGCAUUUUUUUAGGCAACUUAUGCUAUAUCAACUAGCAUUUUUGGUAAAAAAUCAUAAGCAUUUUUAAUCUAAUUCUAGUUAAUCGUGCAAAUCAUAAGCAUUCCCUUGUAUAUGGCAGGUCACUAAGGUUGUAUGUUAGCUAAAUCAAUUAUGUUCCUUUAUGACCCAAGCUAUACGAGGAUUGGAAUUCAAUGCCGGAUUUUCAUCAUCGUAGCUUUGCUUUUUUUCAGUUGGAUUGGUGAAGAGAGUUGUCAAGAUCCAAUAAGAACUACACAUAAAACUACCUAAUUCUAGGUGGAGCUCGUUUAAAUCCAUUUUUUAAGUUCUAUAUCUCCCCUACACAACCAUUUAGCAAGUCUCGAGCCUGAUUAGAUAGCAGCACCAGGGCAUCAAAAGCAACUAAAUGUGAAUCAUUAGGCAAUAAUGUACCGUUAAGUAGGCAGAUCAUUAUUUUUCAGACGUUUCCUAUAUAUCAGCUUUUCCUAGUUUGUUCAGCAUCACAAUCAAUCUAAUGAAGCAUAUUUUAUCUGCAUUCAAUCAGGCUAUACAGCAGUGGAUUUACUUGUAUCAGGACUUCAGUUUUGCUAAGGUCCCCACCUCCUUCCUCCUUGCUAUGUUCCUCUUGUUCUAUUUGUUGCCAUGCGCUCACCAAGAGAAACAGGCAGUUUACAAUGCUCUUAUUAUAUGUCAAUUUUGGAGGGGUCACAAAACUGCAAGAAGUGCAUGCCCAUGUUAGUGAUUUCAGAAGCAAAAAUUCAUUUUUUUUAGU